UACGUAGGUGGCAAGCGUUGUCCGGAUUUAUUGGGUUUAAAGGGUGCGUAGGUGGUCUAUUAAGUCAGUGCUGAAAUAUCCCGGCUUAACCGGGAGGGUGGCAUUGAUACUGAUGGACUUGAGUAGAGUUGAGGUAGGCGGAAUUGACGGUGUAGCGGUGAAAUGCUUAGAUAUCGUCAAGAACACCGAUAGCGAAGGCAGCUUACUAAGCUCCAACUGACGCUGAUGCACGAAAGUGUGGGGAUCAAACAGG
rnacentral:rRNA from 1 species